UGGCGGACGGGGGAGUAAUGUCUGGGAAACUGCCCGAUGAGGGGGAGUAACUACUGGAAACGGUAGCUAAUACCGCAUAACGUCGCAAGACCAAAGAGGGGGACCUUCGGGCCUCUUGCCAUCGGAUGUGCCCAGAUGGGAUUAGCUAGUAGGUGGGGUAAAGGCUCACCUAGGCGACGAUCCCUAGCUGGUCUGAGAGGAUGACCAGCCACACUGGAACUGAGACACGGUCCAG
rnacentral:rRNA from 1 species